rnacentral:lncRNA from 1 species
GUCUGCUCCAGAUUUUGUCUGCUAUUUUUUGAAACUAAAAUCCGGGCAUCCGGUAGAGGCGCUGACUGUCCGCAUCAGUCAUAACAAUUCAUUGUUAGGACAUGGUUAGGACCUGGUGCAUCAUUUGGAAAAGACCAGCACAAUGCCAAAUCGUUGCUUUGUGCCCAAUUGCAAGACUGGUUAUCCAAGCAACAAACCAGCUUCUACACUAUCAUUGUUCGCACCACCCAAGGAUAAAGCUCUCUUCAAACAAUGGGAGCAAUACAUUCCUCGUAAGGAUAUAAAGCUAAAACCAUCAUCAAGAGUGUGUUCCAGACAUUUUGAAGAAGAUGACGUCAUUAAAGGACGCAUGAUAAAAGGGAAGGAUGGAAAAGAAAUUUUCCAUGCGUGGAAGAACUGGACCCUUAAAGAAGGAGCAAUUCCAAGAAUUUUUCAAGAUUGCCCGAGUCAUCUGACAAAGCCAAAACCAGCAGCCAAAAGAAAAUUACCAAAAAAUAGAGAGACUGCUGACGUUAGGAAGCAUAAGAAUGCUAAGCACCUGGAUGAGCCUCAAGAAGACAUUGAUGAUGUUUUCCAGAAUUGUGAAGGGAUGCCAUGGUUGUCUUUUAAUCCGAAAGACUGUCCAUUACCUCCAACUUGGUUUUGAAUUAAUUCCAAAGAUGAGUCUGCGGUCCCACUUUGUGUUCAGUUUGAACUCAUCCCGGGAGAAACAACUGAAUCAAAGUCGGUCCACUUGAAAGACGGGCAGGUUUUUUUGUCCUACAAUUCCAAAGUACUUUAUACUACGUUUCUAAAUCAAGAACAAAAUGACGAAACACUGUGCCAGCAGUUAGCAAGGAUUAUCAAGAAUUUCGACGAGGCGCACAAAUGCCACGGCAUAAGAGAAGGGCGGUUUGCCAUCAUUAAGUUUUGCACUGGAGCUGUCCUUCAAGAUGACACUUGGAGAUCAACCAACUGCAAAACCUUUUUCGACGUAAAUAAUAAGAAUUUCUAUGACCCAAGCUCUCAUUCCCUACCUGAGGACGUCUUCAAAUGGGUACAAAAAACCAUAGAGAUAGGAACACCGGUGUGUUCCGAGUGCUGCACGAUAAGGCGAGC